rnacentral:rRNA from 1 species
AUUGAACGCUGGCGGCGUGCUUAACACAUGCAAGUCGAUCGGUAACGCGGGGGCAACCCUGGCGACGAGAGGCGGACGGGUGAGGAACGCUUGGGAAUCUGCCCUUCAGCGGGGGACAACCCGGGGAAACUCGGGCUAAUACCGCAUACGCUCCACGGAGGAAAGCCGGGGACCGCAAGGCCUGGCACUGAAGGAUGAGCCCAAGUCGGAUUAGCUAGUUGGCGGGGUAACGGCCCACCAAGGCGACGAUCCGUAGCUGGUCUGAGAGGACGAUCAGCCACACUGGGACUGAGACACGGCCCAGACUCCUACGGGAGGCAG